rnacentral:lncRNA from 1 species
ACAAUAUUCAAAAGAAUAGUUAUAUACUUAAUAUUUGAAAAUCAAAGAUAUUUUUGCUAAAAUUUUACUUACCUGGCCAAGGAGAUCGUCCAUCUUUUUACGGAUCGAUAGAUUGUUGAGCAUGUGGUCGAACCGAAAAUACUCUGCAGUUUAAUUAAAUAUCUAAAACAUUUAUUCAAAUACUCAACAAAUAGUUUUGCUAAAUAUGAUAACUAGAUAGCCAACAAAAUUACAUAUAAAUAUUUAAACAGUAAAAAAUAUGUUACUUUAACGUGUUAAAAUUUAAAAAUAAAUUUUAAUUAUGACAUGCAUCUUAACAUUUAUAUUAAUAUAUAUCAUAACCUAAAUAUAAAUAAUUUAACAACUUAAAUUAGAAAAAAAUAAAAAUUCCGGGCGUAGCCCGGGUUAAUCCCUAGUUCGUAGUAACUUUCUCGUAAAAAAGAUUUUACGAGUAAUUAGCGAGGAAACACGUUUCGUCGCUAUUCGUUCGUCGUAACGCAUAUUUCUUCGCCAAUUCGUCGUAAAUUAGCGAGCAAAAAUUUCGUCGUAAAAACGAAGAACAGUACUCGUCGUAAAAACCACAUAAACUUUCCACGUAAGGAGAAUGCUACAUGUCCUCGUAAAUAUCUCGCAAGCAUUUCCUCAUAAAUUACACGUAAAUCUUUCCAUGUCAAAUACUCGUUAAACUUUCCUCGUAGUGUUGACGUAAACAUUUUACUCGUUACUUCCUCGUAACUUUUCGACGUAAAGUAAUCGUAAUUUAGCUACAAAUUUACUUCGAUUUUGAGAUUUUUAGAAUUAAAAAAUAUAAUAAAAAUUAUUUAAUUUUUUAAUAAAAAUCUAAUUUAAAAAUAAAAAUAAAUACGAAAAAUAUUUUAUACAUAAAUAAGUUUUGAAUAUAAUACAUUCCACGAAAAGUAAAAAAAAAAAGAACUAAGAGUCGUUCAUCGCCCAGUAGAAUUCCUCACUCCUCCUCUCUACAUCCGGGUCGGCAUGUGUGUCGGAUGAUGACUCACCUGGAAUGCGAUUUUGUCGUCGCAUGUUCCUCAACAAGGACUCCCAUUCCGGAUUUGUGGCCGCUAUAACGUCCAAGAAGCCCUCGACUCCACCCACACGAGCAGUGAACGCAGUUCGCGUCAAGUCCAACUCAUUACGCAGCUGAGUGACUUCAUCUUCCCGUAUCUGACCAUAAGACGAUGUCGCUCUCGGAACAUCGUUGACGAAACCAAUCCCCAACGUACGUCCCUUUUUCUUAGAGACAACCUUAAAAACAAAAAAAAUAUUAUUACUAAAAAGUUAAAGUUAAAUUAAAUGAAUAAUAAUAAAAUUUAAAAUUUCAAAAAGUUUACCUCCUCGUAAAUCUUAUCCACUUAUAGUAUGGAUAAGGUGACGGAUAAUCCGUC